GAUAAUGGUAGUAGUUCUUGGAUUACCUUCAAGUAGCAUUUUUCAUCCUAUUUUCAAUUUGGUGUUGACUACAAUUCACAUUGUAGUGGCAUCAAUGAUUAGUGUAUACUAUUGCAUCAUUGUAUUCCUCAAAGCUUCUUUAGAACAUGCACCUACAAUAUUUUAAAGGCUUAUGCAUUCUACAAUACUACAUUUAUGAUGUGUUUUUUUAGAAUAAUCCACCAAAGAAAGAGUCAGUAUCAUUUUGUUAAAAUUGAGACCAUAGAUUAUAAGAAAUAAAUUAUUUUAUAAUUAUUUAAAUAUGAAUUCUAUUAGAUAUUUUUUUUGUAAGCUAAUAUUGAUUGCUCUAUAAAUAAAAUUUAAGUUUUUUCAAUUAUUUUUUGAAUUUGCUCAAUAGACAAGAAAUUUUAAAGCAUUUCUAAAUACGUCUUACUUUUAUGAUGAAAGUUCUUCAAUGAUUUGUAUAGAAAAGCUCAAGGAUAUGUUUGUUGAGGCACUUAGUAGAAAGAUAACCAUGGAAUAUUUAGGGUUGCAGUAUUUGCAAGUGGAGCAUGUAAGUACUAUGUUUUAAAAAGAGCUUAUAUUGAGGGCUUCUAUGGAUUAUAAAAAUAGUAUAGUGAAUUGUAAGUACUUGAUCAUCAUAGAAUUUGAGCUUGCAUUGUGGUUUACAAUAUUUGGAUGUAAGGAGAGAUUGUAAAU
rnacentral:lncRNA from 1 species